rnacentral:rRNA from 1 species
AUUGAACGCUGGCGGCAGGCUUAACACAUGCAAGUCGAGCGGAGAGAGGUAGCUUGCUACUGAUCUUAGCGGCGGACGGGUGAGUAAUGCUUAGGAAUCUGCCUAUUAGUGGGGGACAACAUUUCGGAAGGAAUGCUAAUACCGCAUACGUCCUACGGGAGAAAGCAGGGGAUCUUCGGACCUUGCGCUAAUAGAUGAGCCUAAGUCGGAUUAGCUAGUUGGUGGGGUAAAGGCCUACCAAGGCGACGAUCUGUAGCGGGUAUGAGAGGAUGAUCCGCCACCCUGGGACUGAAACACGGCCCAGACUCCUACGGGAGGCAGCAGUGGGGAAUAUUGGACAAUGGGCGGAAGCCUGAUCCAGCCAUGCCGCGUGUGUGAAGAAGGCCUUAUGGUAGUAAAGCACUUUAAGCGAGGAGGAGGCUACUUUAGUUAAUACCUAGAGAUAGUGGACGUUACUCGCAGAAUAAGCACCGGCUAACUCUGUGCCAGCAGCCGCCGUAACAC